AGCGAACGCUGGCGGCAGGCUUAACACAUGCAAGUCGAACGAUCCUUCGGGAUAGUGGCGGACGGGUGAGUAACACGUGGGAACGUGCCCUUAGGUUCGGAACAACACAGGGAAACUUGUGCUAAUACCGGAUAAGCCCUUACGGGGAAAGAUUUAUCGCCUUUGGAGCGGCCCGCGUCUGAUUAGCUUGUUGGUGAGGUAAAGGCUCACCAAGGCUACGAUCAGUAGCUGGUCUGAGAGGAUGGCCAGCCACAUUGGGACUGAGACACGGCCCAAACUCCUACGGGAGGCAGCAGUGGGGAAUCUUGCGCAAUGGGCGAAAGCCUGACGCAGCCAUGCCGCGUGGAUGAUGAAGGUCUUAGGAUUGUAAAAUCCUUUCAGCGGGGACGAUAAUGACGGUACCCG
rnacentral:rRNA from 1 species